CGUAGGUGAACCUGCGGAGGGAUCAUUACACAAUAAAAUACGAAGGCCGUUCGCGGCUGGACUAUUUAUUACCCUUGUCUUUUGCGCACUUGUUGUUUCCUGGGCGGGUUCGCUCGCCACCAGGACCACAAUAUAAACCUUUUUUAUGCAGUUGCAAUCAGCGUCAGUAUAACAAAUGUAAAUCAUUUACAACUUUCAACAACGGAUCUCUUGGUUCUGGCAUCGAUGAAGAACGCAGCGAAAUGCGAUACGUAGUGUGAAUUGCAGAAUUCAGUGAAUCAUCGAAUCUUUGAACGCACAUUGCGCCCUUUGGUAUUCCAAAGGGCAUGCCUGUUCGAGCGUCAUUUGUACCCUCAAGCUUUGCUUGGUGUUGGGCGUUUUUGUCUUUGGCCCGCCAAAGACUCGCCUUAAAAUGAUUGGCAGCCGGCCUACUGGUUUCGCAGCGCAGCACAUUUUUGCGCUUGCAAUCAGCAAAAGAGGACGGCAAUCCAUCAAGACUCCUUCUCACGUUUGACCUCGGGAUCAGGGUAGGGAUACCAACGCUGAACUUAAGCAUAUCAAUAAGCGGAGGAA
rnacentral:rRNA from 1 species